GAGAGAAAGUAUAAGAUGUACCAUCUCUAUAGAGGUAGUUUUUAGUUGGAGGUAUAUAUAUCUCUUAGGAUGGAAUGGUUUCCUCCUAAAUUUAGCGGUGUGACACCUAUUACCAGGAGGAAACCCCAAUGUUCUUUAUAUUUAACCUAUUCUACAUAGUUCUCUAAGCAAAUGGACUCAGUAGCUUGAGAAGUGUAACAUGAGCUAUCUCAGAUGUGUCCACUGAAUUUGUUCCAUUUUACUCCCUCUAGUUUAAAUUAUAAGGCAUUUUGUCUUUUCUAGAUAUGUAACUUUUACUAUACACUUGGAUAUACAAAACAAAAGUUAUGUAUUUUGGACAGCUAAAACGUCUUAUAUAGUUAGAACUAGAACAAUGUGUGGCGUUGUGCGCUUGAAAUGUGCCCGCACAUUCCCCAUGUCGGUUUCAUAGUUAGACUAAUUGUAGACCAACUUAAAGCCCAGUAGCAGUUGGACUUUUGUUUUCAGCUUUGUUUCUUGUUUUUUUCUAAUUUUAUUUUCUUUAAUUAUUUUUUCUAUAUUAUCUAUUAUUUUUCUAUUUAUUUAGACCUGGUAUUCUCUUUGCAUCCUAUAUAACUUUCUAGAGUCCCCUUGUCAUAGAGUAUAUAUGUAAUUUUUUAUUUACCUAUAUCCUAUUGGUAACUUUUUCUAGAAUUCUAUAUUGCUAGAAGUCCAAACCAAUACCCAAUCGGUAAGUUUCUACUCGUUCCGUCUCAAAAAGACUGAUGUUUUUGACUUUAACCAAUCAUAUUUGACUGUUCGUCUUAUUCAAAAUUUUUGUGCAAAUUCUAAAAUAGAUAAAUCAUUAUUAAUGUUCCUCUAAUGAUCAAAUAAGUCAUAUCAAAAUAGACAAUAUUUAUACAAAAAGUUAGUUUUAAUAAGACAGAUGAUCAAACAAGAUGGAAGUCAACAACAACGAUUUUUUUGAGACGAAGGGAGUAGACUUUUGUAUCGUUAGAAGUCAAAAAGAAAUUGGCUGCCGAUAUAUUUGUCAUAUGACAUUAUUAGGACAGCAUGAUGAUGUGGUGCAAUAGUUUUUCGUUACCGCAACGCGGUUUUCAGGCAAGAAAGAUGGAGGGAGUAGUUUUUAGCGCACGUAAUAAAAAUACUGUUGCAUAUGUCUAGCAAGGCAUUAGCUAUUUCCAUAUUUCAGAUUUCAGAGUGAACAUUUCAAAUAUACAUCUUGAAAUGUAGUUUUCAUAACCAUGUAGGUUAUUGCAUUUAUGAAUAUUUAUCGUCUACAGUAGAGCUUGGGCAAUAAAUAUAUGCUGUCAAGUGAAGAGAGAUGAACAUCGAGGUAAACAACCAAACUAUGGCGUUCACCCCAAAAACCAAAAUCUUUUCAAGAAUCCCCGUCACAUCGAAUCUUACGACACAUGCAUGGAGUAUUAAAUAUAGACGAAAAUAAAAACUAAUUGCACAGUUUACAUGUAAAUCACGAGAUGAAUCUUUUAAGCCUAAUUACUUCAUGAUUGGAUAAUAUUUGUCAAAUAAAAACGGAAGUGCUACAAUUCCGAAAACUUUUUCAGUUUUUGGAACUAAACAAGGCCUAUAUAAAAAAUGCACUACUGUUCGUCUAAAAAAAUUGUACUACCGAUCUUGUCGCUAGCUAUAGCUAGAUGAGCAACAUAAUGACCAACUUGCAAUGCAGUUAGCAUUUGGGGUCCAUCUGAACAGUACUAGCACAUUGACAUAUAUAAGUGGAUUACAAGGUUUUCAUUUGGUUAACCACUUCAAACUUUUCAUUAUUUCUUCGAAUCAUGAAGCAUGAUCUUCACAAGCCACGAAUAAACAAAAAGCUCUAUUUGUCUAGAUAUGCUGUUUUUAAUUUGUUUCUCUGCAUGCACACGUAUCGUCGUCAUCAUGGGAAGAUGCCCCUAUUUGGUUAUGUAUUCCUCACCAGAAACUGUACGAGAUAUAUAUAUAUGACUUUCUUUUUGUAGAUAUCAACACAUCAUCUGCCAAGUUUUAGUUGAGCUAUAUUUGGGGUAACAUUUACAAACGAUGGCCGAGAUGGUACGACGGUGUGUUCAGCGUCUAAUAGAAUAACCACUAGCUUGUACGUGCAUCAAGUACAAUCCAGUGCAAAUUUUUAAUACUGUGAGAUAAAACGAAGGGUUCUGACACCUUUGAUAGUUCUAGUAAAUAUCAUGUGAAAUUUUACUGUGCUUGGAAAAAACUUGAGCCAUCUAUUUGUAUAGAUCAGACGGC
rnacentral:lncRNA from 1 species